UAUGUGAUCGUCUCUCGCAUAUCAAUAAGCGGAGGAAAAGAAACUAACAAGGAUUCCCCUAGUAACGGCGAGUGAAGCGGGAAGAGCUCAAAUUUGAAAUCUUAAAGGGUUUCCCUUUACGAAUUGUAGUUUAAAGAAGUGUUUUCUGUUGAGGUUUUGGUAAAAGUUCUUUGGAAUAGGACAUCAUAGAGGGUGAGAAUCCCGUAUUUGACCUUUACUUUCAACUUUGUGAUACACUUUCAAAGAGUCGGAUUGUUUGGGAAUGCAGUCCAAAAUGGGUGGUAAAUUUCAUCUAAAGCUAAAUAUUGGCGAGAGACCGAUAGCGAACAAGUACCGUGAGGGAAAGAUGAAAAGAACUUUGAAAAGAGAGUUAAACAGUACGUGAAAUUGUCAAAAGGGAAGCGUUUGACACCAGUGUUGUUUUUCUGAAAAUCAAUUAAAGAACUGUUUAUGCUAAGUUGUUUAGACUUUAUCAGCUAACUGUUUAGUUUUGAGCCUUUUCUUUAAUGCACUUUUCAGUUAACAAGUCAACAUCAAUUUCUUUUGCUGUAAAAAAGCUUGAGGAAGGUGGCUUGAGAUUCGUCUUAAGUGUUUAUAGCCUCUUGCCUAUGCAGUCGGAGAGAUUGAGGUCUGCAGCGUAGAUCCUUCGGGGCUAAAUGCAUUUGUGCUAAGUUAUAGCAUUUUAUAGACAACUUGUUGACUAUGAUUUGUCUUGUAGCUUACUCGCUUAUGUUAUUUUACCUACGCUUAGGAUGUUGAGUAGCGACAUACGCAC
rnacentral:rRNA from 1 species